AUUUCCUUUCCGCUCGGCUGUUAUCCUGCGCAGGAGCCGCAGGGCCGUAGGCAGCCAUGGCGCCCAGCCGGAAUGGCAUGGUCUUGAAGCCCCACUUCCACAAGGACUGGCAGCGGCGCGUGGCCACGUGGUUCAACCAGCCGGCCCGGAAGAUCCGCAGGUGAGCCCUGCGCUCGGGGCUGCCCCUGGGGCUGGUGCCCGCGGCUGCGCCUUGGUUUGGGGGUGGCCGAUGCCAGGGCGGGGGGCGCUGUCUGCGACCGUCGCGGAGCUCUGGCCUGGCGGCCUUAGGCAAGGGUGACCGCCGCUGCGCUUCUCUCCACCAGACGCAAGGCCCGGCAAGCCAAGGCGCGCCGCAUCGCCCCGCGCCCCGCGUCGGGGCCCAUCCGGCCCAUCGUCCGCUGCCCCACGGUUCGGUACCACACGAAGGUGCGCGCCGGCCGCGGCUUCAGCCUGGAGGAGCUCAGGGUGGCCGGCAUUCACAAGAAGGUGGCCCGGACCAUCGGCAUUUCUGUGGAUCCGAGGAGGCGGAACAAGUCCACGGAGUCGCUGCAGGCCAACGUGCAGCGGCUGAAGGAGUACCGCUCCAAGCUCAUCCUCUUCCCCAGGAAGCCCUCGGCCCCCAAGAAGGGAGACAGUUCUGCUGAAGAACUGAAACUGGCCACCCAGCUGACGGGACCAGUCAUGCCCAUCCGGAAUGU
rnacentral:sRNA from 1 species